AGCGAACGCUGGCGGCAGGCCUAAAACAUGCAAGUCGAACGCCGUAGCAAUACGGAGUGGCAGACGGGUGAGUAACACGUGGGAACGUGCCCUUUGGUCCGGAACAACACAGGGAAACUUGUGCUAAUACCGGAUAAGCCCUUACGGGGAAAGAUUUAUCGCCGAAGGAUCGGCCCGCGUCUGAUUAGCUAGUUGGUGGGGUAAUGGCCCACCAAGGCUACGAUCAGUAGCUGGUCUGAGAGGAUGAUCAGCCACACUGGGACUGAGACACGGCCCAGACUCCUACGGGAGGCAGCAGUUAGGAAUCUUGGACAAUGGGCGCAAGCCUGAUCCAGCCAUGCCGCGUGAGUGAUGAAGGCCUUAGGGUUGUAAAGCUCUUUCAGCGGGGAAGAUAAUGACGGUACCCGCAGAAGAAGCCCCGGCUAACUUCGUGCCAGCAGCCGCCGUAA
rnacentral:rRNA from 1 species